CGGAUUGUAGGCUGAAACUCGCCUGCAUGAAGUCGGAAUUGCUAGUAAUCGCGGAUCAGCAUGCCGCGGUGAAUACGUUCCCGGGCCUUGUACACACCGCCCGUCACACCAUGAGAGCCGGUAACACCCGAAGUCAAUAGCCUAACCGCAAGGAGGGCAUUGCCGAAGGUGGGAUUGGUAAUUGGGGUGAAGUCGUAACAAGGUAAC
rnacentral:rRNA from 1 species